rnacentral:misc_RNA from 1 species
UUUCCGUAGGUGAACCUGCGGAAGGAUCAUUAUUGAAACUUGAAUCGUAGCAUUGAGAACUGUUGCUGACCUGUUAAAGGGUAUGUGCACGUUCGACGUGUUGCGUUCUAUUCAUCCACCUGUGCACCUUUGUAGACUUGAUUAACUUUCGCUCUCGAGCGGUUAGAAGGGUUGCUUUCGAGCUCCCUUUGUCUAUCAAGUCUAUGUCUAUAUAAUCUCUUGCAUGUCUAGAAUGUCUUGUUUAUGGGACGCAAGUCCUUUAAAUCUUAUACAACUUUCAACAACGGAUCUCUUGGCUCUC